AUUGAACGCUGGCGGCAGGCCUAACACAUGCAAGUCGAACGAGUGGCGGACGGGUGAGUAAUGUCUGGGAAACUGCCUGAUGGAGGGGGAUAACUACUGGAAACGGUAGCUAAUACCGCAUACCAUCGGAUGAGCCCAGAUGGGAUUAGCUAGUAGGUGGGGUAACGGCUCACCAAGGCGACGAUCCCUAGCUGGUCUGAGAGGAUGACCAGCCACACUGGAACUGAGACACGGUCCAGACUCCUACGGGAGGCAGCAGUGGGGAAGAUUGCACAAGGGGCGCAAGUCUGAUGCAGCCAUGCCGAGUGUAUGAAGAAGGCCUUCGGGUUGUAAAGUACGUUCAGCGGGGAGGCGUUACCAGCAGAAGAAGCACCGGCUAACUCCGUGCCAGCAGCCGCGGUAAUAC
rnacentral:rRNA from 1 species